UACGUAGGGUGCGAGCGUUAAUCGGAAUUACUGGGCGUAAAGCGUGCGCAGGCGGCUUGCUAAGACAGGUGUGAAAGCCCCGAGCUUAACUUGGGAAUGGCGCUUGUGACUGGCAGGCUGGAGUGUGGCAGAGGGAGGUGGAAUUCCACGUGUAGCAGUGAAAUGCGUAGAGAUGUGGAGGAACACCGAUGGCGAAGGCAGCCUCCUGGGCCAACACUGACGCUCAUGCACGAAAACGUGGGGAGCAAACAGG
rnacentral:rRNA from 1 species